rnacentral:rRNA from 1 species
UACAGAGGUCCCAAGCGUUGUUCGGAUUCAUUGGGCGUAAAGGGUGCGUAGGUGGCGUCGUAAGUCGGGUGUGAAAUCUCGGGGCUUAACUCCGAAACUGCAUUCGAUACUGCCGUGCUUGAGGACUGGAGAGGAGACUGGAAUUUACGGUGUAGCGGUGAAAUGCGCAGAUAUCAGGAGGAACACCGGUGGCGAAGGCGGGUCUCUGGGCCGAUACUGACGCUGAGGAGCGAAAGCGUGGGGAGCGAACAGG